rnacentral:rRNA from 1 species
UCGAGGAUCUUUCGCAAUGAGCGAAAGCUUGACGAAGCGACGCUGCGUGAGCGAUGAAGGCCUUCGGGUCGUAAAGCUCUUUCGCGCAAGAACAAGGGAGAAGGGUGAAUAACCCAUUAACUUGAGGGUACUGCGUAAAGAAGCACCGGCUAACUCCGUGCCAGCAGCUGCGGUAAUACGGAGAGUGCAAGCAUUAAUCGGAAUUAUUGGGCGUAAAGGGCGCGUAGGCGGUAGAGAAAGUCAGAUGUGAAAUUCCGAAGCUCAACUUCGGAGCUGCAUUUGAAACUGCAUUACUAGAGGGUCGGCGGAGAAAACGGAAUUCCACGUGUAGCGGUGAAAUGCGUAGAUAUGUGGAAGAACACCUGUGGCGAAAGCGGUUUUCUAGCUGAUUCCUGACGCUGAGGCGCGAGAGCAAGGGGAGCAAACAGGAUUAGAUACCCGCGUAGUCC